rnacentral:rRNA from 1 species
CACGGGUGGAGUAACGACGUAUCCAACCCUACGCCACUUUUACUUGGGGAUAACCCGUUGAAAGACGGACUAAUACCCAAUGAUAUUCAUUGAUGACAUCUGAUUUGAAUUAAAGAUUUAUCGGUAUAGGAUGGGGAUGCGUCUGAUUAGCUUGUUGGUGAGGUAACGGCUCACCAAGGCAACGAUCAGUAGGGGUUCUGAGAGGAAGGUCCCCCACAUUGGAACUGAGACACGGUCCAAACUCCUACGGGAGGCAGCAGGU